CACCUCUCAGGGUGGCACCUGGAGGGUUUCCAGUACUCUACCAGUCUCGACUACAGGAGGGAGAGUCAAGCAGAGGCAUAUCCAUUCCAGUCCUAGGUUGGGCAAUAGCUAGCGGGUGCAAGACAAUCUGCUACAAGU